GUGAAAUUCCGUCGGAAUCUGGGAGGACCAUCUCCUAAGGCUAAAUACUCUCUAGUGACCGAUAGUGAACCAGUACCGUGAGGGAAAGGUGAAAAGCACCCCGGAAGGGGAGUGAAAUAGAACCUGAAACCGUGUGCUUACAAGUAGUCAGAGCCCGUUAAUGGGUGAUGGCGUGCCUUUUGUAGAAUGAACCGGCGAGUUACGAUUUGAUGCAAGGUUAAGCAGUAAAUGUGGAGCCGUAGCGAAAGCGAGUCUGAAUAGGGCGUUUAGUAUUUGGUCGUAGACCCGAAACCAGGUGAUCUACCCUUGGUCAGGUUGAAGUUCAGGUAACACUGAAUGGAGGACCGAACCGACUUACGUUGAAAAGUGAGCGGAUGAACUGAGGGUAGCGGAGAAAUUCCAAUCGAACCUGGAGAUAGCUGGUUCUCUCCGAAAUAGCUUUAGGGCUAGCCUCAAGUGAUGAUUAUUGGAGGUAGAGCACUGUUUGGAUGAGGGGCCCCUCUCGGGUUACCGAAUUCAGACAAACUCCGAAUGCCAAUUAAUUUAACUUGGGAGUCAGAACAUGGGU
rnacentral:rRNA from 1 species